rnacentral:rRNA from 1 species
UAAGGAAUAUUGGUCAAUGGACGCAAGUCUGAACCAGCCAUGCCGCGUGAAGGAUGAAGGCCCUAUGGGUUGUAAACUUCUUUUAUACGGGAAGAAACCCCGAUACGUGUAUCGGGUUGACGGUACUGUAAGAAUAAGGAUCGGCUAACUCCGUGCCAGCAGCCGCGGUAAUACGGAGGAUCCAAGCGUUAUCCGGAUUUAUUGGGUUUAAAGGGUGCGUAGGCGGCUUAUUAAGUCAGUGGUGAAAGCCUUCAGCUUAACUGAAGAAUUGCCAUUGAUACUGAUGAGCUUGAGUAUAGUUGAGGUGGGCGGAAUGUGUCAUGUAGCGGUGAAAUGCUUAGAUAUGACACAGAACACCGAUUGCGAAGGCAGCUCGCUAAACUAUAACUGACGCUGAGGCACGAAAGCGUGGGUAGCAAACAGG